rnacentral:rRNA from 1 species
GACGAACGCUGGCGGCGUGCCUAAUACAUGCAAGUCGAGCGAACAGAUGAGGAGCUUGCUCCUCUGACGUUAGCGGCGGACGGGUGAGUAACACGUGGAUACCCUACUUAUAUGACUGGGAUAAUCUCGGGACACCGGAGCAUACACCGGAUAAUAUAUUGAACCGCAUGGUUGAUUAGUGAAAGACGGUUUUGCUGUCUCUUAUAGAUGGAUCUGCGCCGCAUUAGCUAGUUGUGAAGUUAACGGCUUACGAAGGCAACGAUGCGUAGCCGACGUGAGAGGGUGAUCGGCCACACUGGAGCUGAGACACGGUCCAGGCUCCUGCGAGAGGCAGCAGUAGGGUAUCUUCCGCAAUGGGCGAGAGCCUGACGGAGCGGCGCCGCGUGAGUGAUGAAAGUCUUCGGAUCGUAAAACUCUGUUAUUAGUGAAGAACAAAUGUGUAAGUAACUGUGCACGUCUUGACGGUACCUAGUCAGAAAGCCACGGCUAACUACGUG